CAAGCUGUGCGUGUAAAGUAUAGAGAACAACAAAAGUACAUCUGUUUUGAGGGCCAACUGACCUACACAUCGUUUUUGGAAUGUGUUGCCAAGAAGUUCAACAUUCCAAACUUGGACUUCAAAGUUUUUGAUGACUCAAAGACUGAAGUUGAUGAGGAUGUUUUUGAUUUCCUUAUGAAAAAACAAAACCUUGGUGUGCUAGAGAUUUGUCAAGCACAAGGUCCAAAUCCAGAUGAUUCUUCUGCAAGCACCUCCUUUACCAGUUCCAGUGGAGAAAUUGAAGUGGACUCUGAUGACACCAUAUUAUUGGAACACAGUCC